ensembl:snRNA U6 U6 spliceosomal RNA
GUGCUCGCUUCAGCCACACAUAUACUAAAAUUGGAACCAUACAGAGAAGAUUAGCAUGGGCCCUGUGCAAGGAUGACAUGCAAAUUCAUGAAGCAUUCCAUAUUUCU